AGGGUGUGUGUUCAUGUUUGUGUUCAAUAUAAGCUCCCUCACAGGCAACCAAACCGCCAGAGAGUCGCAGCCUUGGCAUCAAACCGUACACAUUCACAGAGAGAGACAGAGAGAGAGAUGAGAUUGCUAGGUUACUUAGGGCAAUGGAGGAACGUAGCGAAAGAGGCAGUGGAUCGAUCCAUGAUCGUGGCAAAGUUCCUCUGCUUGCUUCACGUCACCAACAACUACCUCUGUUCCCCAACCCUCGUUUACGGUCCUAGUAUGCUCCCGACCCUGAAUCUGACCGGCGACGUGGUUUUAGCCGAAUAUUUGUCGACCCGGUUCGGCAAGGUGGGACUCGGAGAUGUCAUCCUUGUUCGGUCCCCUGAAAACCCUACGAGGAUUGUCACCAAGCGCAUUGUGGGCAUGGAAGGCGAUACAGUUACUUUCUUGGUGGACCCCAUGAACAGUGAUCGUUCUCACAUCCUGGUGGUGCCAAAGGGGCAUGUUUGGAUUCAGGGUGAUAAUAUUUAUGCAUCGAAGGAUUCACGGCAUUUUGGUCCUGUUCCUUACGGCCUUAUUCAAGGCAAAGUAUGUUGCCGGGUAUGGCCCCCUGAUGGCUUCGGGUUGUUGGCAUAACAAGUGUAACAUCUGUUUUAUCUAUCUAAAGAAAAUCUCUUUGGCUUGAACUCUGCUGCAUCUUCACCCCAUAUCUCAUGAUCAUGAUGAAGCACAACAAUUGGCACAAAAAGUUCUAGGAUCAAGUGCAUUGUUACAUGGAUGACAAUGUGGAUCGACUAUGAUACUCUUGCCCCUCAGUCUAUUUGUCAUAGGUCACCUAGUUCAUCUAGUAGAGAUGGCGGAUCACAGGCCAAUUUGCAUAUUGACAAAUUGGCAAGGAAAACUGGUCAAACUCAGGCAAAUCUGCAGACUUCUUUAGAAAUUCAGCUGCAACCAACUGUGAGCUGCCUCAUGUGUGAAACUCAUGGUACGAAGUCGCACCAUGACACUCCUACUCGUGCUCAUGAAUGAGCCUCCCAGGAGGCACUCACGCUCUCAAGAUAUUUUUGGAAAAGUUGCUCUCGCCUCUGCCCCUGCUCCUGCUUCUGUAGUUGCUCUGUGAUUUGGUGAUUCAGUGCCUUCCCAUUUAGCGUGUACUUUCUAGUUUUUGAAGGCAACCAAAAGACUUCGUCUUGGGAUGCUGGUAGAGGUUGUAGUGAAGAUGAGGUAAGAGUUUUAGUUGUAAUCUCUCUCAUCUCUCUCAUGUUCUUUGUCCUGGCCAGUGUUAGCAUAAUGCUUAGAAAGGGAAGAUACAUAGUAUUAUAGGUUUAAUUCUGGUACAUAAAAAAGAGGUAGUAGUAAGAAAAAUGACUUAACUAUUGGGAAUCAAUGGGUAGCUUUAAAAAAAAAAAAAAAAAAAAAAA